rnacentral:rRNA from 1 species
AGCGAACGCUGGCGGCAGGCUUAACACAUGCAAGUCGAGCGCCCCGCCAGGGGAGCGGCCGACGGGUGAGUACCACGUGGGAACGUACCCUUUGGUUCGGAACAACCCAGGGAAACUUGGGCUAAUACCGGAUAAGUCCGCGAGGAGAAAGAUUUAUCGCCGAAGGAUCGGCCCGCGUCUGAUUAGCUAGUUGGUGUCGUAACGGCGCACCAAGGCGACGAUCAGUAGCUGGUCUGAGAGGAUGAUCUGCCACACUGGGACUGAGACACGGCCCAGACUCCUACGGGAGGCAGCAGUGGGGAAUAUUGGACAAUGGGGGCAACCCUGAUCCAGCCAUGCCGCGUGAGUGAUGAAGGCCCUAGGGUUGUAAAGCUCUUUCGGUGGGGAAGAUAAUGACGGUACCCACAGAAGAAGCCCCGGCUAACCUCGUG